rfam:Sphaerobolus stellatus SS14 unplaced genomic scaffold SPHSTscaffold_135, whole genome shotgun sequence.
GAUGAGAUGGCCGAGUUGGUCAAAGGCGGUGUGCUAUCAAAUCUCAUCUCUUCCGGGGCGUGGGUUCAGAUCCUACUCUCGUCA